rnacentral:rRNA from 1 species
GACGAACGCUGGCGGCGUGCCUAAUACAUGCAAGUUGAGCGCUGAAGGUUGGUACUUGUACCGACUGGAUGAGCAGCGAACGGGUGAGUAACGCGUGGGGAAUCUGCCUUUGAGCGGGGGACAACAUUUGGAAACGAAUGCUACUACCGCAUAAAAACUUUAAACACAAGUUUCAAGUUUGAAAGAUGCAAUUGCAUCACUCAAAGAUGAUCCCGCGUUGUAUUAGCUAGUUGGUGAGGUAAAGGCUCACCAAUGCGGUGAUACAUAGCCGACCUGAGAGGGUGAUCGACCACAUUGGGACUGGGACACGGCCCAAACUCCUGCGGGAGGCAGCAGUAGGGAAUCUUCGGCAAAGGACGAAAGUCUGACCGAGCAACGCCGCGUGAGUGAAGAAGGUUUUCGGAUCGUAAAACUCUGUUGGUAGAGAAGAACGUUGGUGAGAGUGGAAAGCUCAUCAAGUGACGGUAACUACCCAGAAAGGGACGGCUAACUACGUG